CGAUUGCUGGGUCGAGCAUUUUGGCGCCCUACGUGGAGGACAGUGACAGGUUUCCGAUCUUUGACGCAGAUUUUAACCAGUAUGUGGAACUCGAUGAAUGCGACGAAAUCCCAGAUAUGUCUACUGACCAACUUGGAAGCAUGCUAUGUUCUACAUCUGCACCACCUACUGUCGUUCCUGCCUUGGAACCUGAAGCAAGUACCAGUGGGGCCUGGCCAAUUGAAAU